UGCUGGAUAGCUCACUGAUAAAGUUGUCUAUCUCUCAAACAAAAGACCUGAGUUCGAUUCUCAGUCCAGCAC
rnacentral:tRNA from 1 species